ACGGGUGCGGAACACGUACGCAACCUACCUUUAUCUUGGGGAUAGCCCAUAGAAAUGUGGAUUAAUACCCAAUAGUAUAAUAGAGUGGCAUCACUUUGUUAUUAAAGAACUUCGGAUAGAGAUGGGCGUGCGUAAGAUUAGAUUGUUGGUGAGGUAACGGCUCACCAAGUCUACGAUCUUUAGCUGAUGUGAGAGCAUGAUCAGCCACACGGGCACUGAGACACGGGCCCGACUCCUACGGGAGGCAGCAGUGAGGAAUAUUGGGCAAUGGACGCAAGUCUGACCCAGCCAUGCCGCGUGAAGGAUGAAGGCGUUCUGCGUUGUAAACUUCUUUUAUCAGGGAAGAAACCACAGAUUUCUAUUUGUGUUGACGGUACCUGAGGAAUAAGCACCGGCUAACUCCGUGCCAGCAGCCGCGGUAAUACGGAGGGUGCAAGCGUUAUCCGGAUUUACUGGGUUUAAAGGGUGUGUAGGCGGGCCAUUAAGUCUGGGGUGAAAUCUCCGAGCUCAACUCGGAAACUGCCUUGGAUACUAUUGGCCUUGAAUUAUGUUGAGGUUGGCGGAAUAUAACAUGUAGCGGUGAAAUGC
rnacentral:rRNA from 1 species